GGGUCAGUAGGUUGGUCGUGCCACCGGUACGUACUGGUCUCACUGAUUCCUCCUUCCUGAAGAACCGUAAUGCCAUUAAUUUGGUGCCGCGGGGAAACAGGACUGUUACUUUGAAAAAAUUAGAGUGUUUAAAGCAAGCUAACGCUUGAAUACAUUAGCAUGGAAUAAUGAAAUAGGACGAUCGAUCCUAUUUUGUUGGUUUCUAGGAUUGACGUA
rnacentral:rRNA from 1 species